GACGUAGGGUGCGAGCGUUGUCCGGAAUUAUUGGGCGUAAAGAGCUCGUAGGCGGUCUGUCGCGUCGGUCGUGAAAACUUGGGGCUUAACCCUGAGCUUGCGGUCGAUACGGGCAUGACUGGAGUUCGGCAGGGGAGACUGGAAUUCCUGGUGUAGCGGUGAAAUGCGUAGAGAUCGGCAGGAACACCCAGGGGGAAACCAGCCGCCUGGGCAAGCGCUGACGCUGAGGUGCGAGAGCGUGGGGAGCGAACCGG
rnacentral:rRNA from 1 species